rnacentral:rRNA from 1 species
UAACACAUGCAAGUCGAGCGGCAGCGGGAAAGUAGCUUGCUACUUUUGCCGGCGAGCGGCGGACGGGUGAGUAAUGCCUGGGAAAUUGCCCAGUCGAGGGGGAUAACAGUUGGAAACGACUGCUAAUACCGCAUACGCCCUACGGGGGAAAGCAGGGGACCUUCGGGCCUUGCGCGAUUGGAUAUGCCCAGGUGGGAUUAGCUAGUUGGUGAGGUAAUGGCUCACCAAGGCGACGAUCCCUAGCUGGUCUGAGAGGAUGAUCAGCCACACUGGAACUGAGACACGGUCCAGACUCCUACGGGAGGCAGCAGUGGGGAAUAUUGCACAAUGGGGGAAACCCUGAUGCAGCCAUGCCGCGUGUGUGAAGAAGGCCUUCGGGUUGUAAAGCACUUUCAGCGAGGAGGAAAGGUCNGUAGCUAAUAUCUGCUGGCUGUGACGUUACUCGCAGAAGAAGCACCGGCUAACUCCGUGCCAGCAGCC